UACGUAGGGUGCGAGCGUUGUCCGGAAUUAUUGGGCGUAAAGAGCUUGUAGGCGGUUUGUCGCGUCUGCCGUGAAAAUCCGGGGCUCAACCCCGGACUUGCAGUGGGUACGGGCAGACUAGAGUGUGGUAGGGGAGACUGGAAUUCCUGGUGUAGCGGUGAAAUGCGCAGAUAUCAGGAGGAACACCGAUGGCGAAGGCAGGUCUCUGGGCCACUACUGACGCUGAGAAGCGAAAGCAUGGGGAGCGAACAGGAUUAGAUACCCU
rnacentral:rRNA from 1 species